UCACGCCUGCCUGUCACGCAAAGUUGGGUAAUCUCUGUGUAAUCAUGAACAUUUCAGUGGAGGUCUAAAUCUUUUAUUUGUUUGGUAAGUGUGGGUGAAAUAUUUACAACUGAUGUCACUCGUUUAUUCACUGAAAUAUAACACGGAACUAGAAAACUGGUGGAGGGAGGGAGCGCUGGUGGAGGGAGGGGAGAGGAAGGGAGUGGAGGGUGCAGAGUGUCAGGAAGAGGAAGAGCGAGUGUUGCAGGGAAAGUACUGGUCUGUGCUGCGUGUGGGAAGUGACUUUAGUGGCGGCGUGAAGGCGAGGACACGAGUGAGGUGCUGGCAGGCUGACUGAGCGCAAUGGACCAACACGAAUAGUUGGAGCUCGGGGGACAGGCGCGCGCGAAGGCAGACGGCGACAGAUUCGUGACUCAAAACAAAAGCAUCGUGACAGCACAAGUGGGAGCGUCCGUCAUUCUUCAAUGCAAGACCUCAAGUGCGACUGGCGGCCUGGUGUCUUGGAUCAGGAAGAGGGACUACCAGCUCCUGACGGUGAGUCUGCACACACACUCCAGUGACGACCGCUUCUCCAUCAACUACUUGCAUUGGCACGACGCCCGCCAACACAGCACACGUGACCUCAGCCUUACCACUUCCUUCACACGCUGAUCCUCGUUCUUCACAACAGCGCCACCAUUUUUGACCAGCCAAGUCUCCACCUCGUGGCGGCCAAACUGCACGGCCA